AAUAGUCGAAAGCUAGUUUUGUUAGCUACACGUUUGUUGUUUACAUUGUUAUGCAGUCAGUUUGUUACAUGUAUGUUUGUUUACAGUACAUGUUGGUUUUGUUUACAUGUAUGUAUGUUAGUGUACAUGUAUGCUUGUUACAGUACAUGUUGGUUUGUUACAUGUAUGUUAGGUACACAUAUGGUUUGUUUACCGUACAUGUUGGUUUAAUAUAUGUUAUUUCAGUUUACAUGUAUGUUUGUUUACAGUACAUGUUGGUUUGUUUACAUGUGUGUAUGUCAGUUACACGUAUGUUUGUAACAGUCAUGUGGUUUUUCCCUGUCUGUUAUGUACACAUAGUUUGUUACCACUUGUUUAAAUGUAUGCUUACAUGCAGUUCAGUUUCACAUUUCAGCCCUGUGACCCCUAGAACAUAUUAGCCCUGUUGACCCCUAUAAAUCUCAGCCUGUUGACCCCUAGAACAUAUUAGCCCUUUGACCCCCUAGAAAUAUCAGCCUUGUUGGCCCCUAGAACAUAUCCGCCCCUGUUGGUCCCAGAAACUAUCAGCCCUGUUGGUCCCUAGAACCUAUCAGGCCCUGUUGGUCCCUAGUAGAACAUAUCAGCCCUGUUGGCCCCUAGAACAUAUCAGCCCUGUGGUCCUAGACACAAAAAACAUCUCCGCCCCUGUUGGUCCCUAGAACAUAUCGCCCUGUGGUCCCUAGAACAUACAGCCCUGUUGCCCCCUAGAAAACAUAUCAGCCCUGUUGGUCCCUAGAACAUAUCAGCCCUGUUGGACAUAUCAGCCCUGUUGGUCCCUAGAACCUAUUCAGCCUGUGGUCCCUAGAACAUAUCAGGCCCUGUUGUCCCUAGAACAUAUCAGCCCUGUUGGUCCCUAAGACCUAUCAGCCCUGUUGGACAUAUCAGCCCUGUUGGUCCCUAGGACC
rnacentral:lncRNA from 1 species